GACGAACGCUGGCGGCGUGCUUAACACAUGCAAGUCGAACGGAAAGGCCCUGCUUUUGUGGGGUGCUCGAGUGGCGAACGGGUGAGUAACACGUGAGUAACCUGCCCUUGACUUUGGGAUAACUUCAGGAAACUGGGGCUAAUACCGGAUAGGAGCUCCUGCUGCAUGGUGGGGGUUGGAACGUUUCGGCGGGUGGGGAUGGACUCGCGGCUUAUCAGCUUGUUGGUGGGGUAGUGGUUUACCAAGGCUUUGACGGGUAGCCGGCCUGAGAGGGUGACCGGGCACAUGGGGACUGAGAUACGGCCCAGACUCCUAUGGGAGGCAGCAGUGGGGAAUAUUGCACAAUGGGCGGAAGUCUGAUGCAGCAACGCCGCGUGCGGGAAGACGGCCUGCGGGUUGUAAACCGCUUUCGCCUGUGACGAAGCGUGAGUGACGGUAAUGGGUAAAGAAGCACCGGCUAACUACGUG
rnacentral:rRNA from 1 species